GGACAAUGAUGAAAAACAUGAACAAACCACACCAUCUUUCGGGACUGGUUGAUGCAUUCCAUGUGCCAUGAUGUCAAAUCUGCAAUUCUGAUGCCC